UGGGUGUGGUGCUGAACCCCGGGAGUCCUGAACUAAACAGAAUAUACACUGCCCUUCAAAGCCUGGAGGUCCAGGGGAGGAGAGGUAUGAGAGUGGUGACUACCCCAACUUCCUAGGAAGUUUCCUCUUGAUACUGCUGCAGUUUCAUGGUACAGGGGCUUCAAGUGUCAUCAGACAUCAGGGCCACUGCACGCCAUGACGCACGGUAACGUUUGGAUGAAAACAUUUGGUACAGAUAUUCAGAUGAAAGAUCCAAAAAGUCACUGCCAAUUAAUUCUUUAACUGGCAGAGAAAAUGGACACUAUGGAGACCCUUAGACCGUAUCAGGAAUGUCGGACUCAUCUGGCCACAGAGGUUUGAGGUGGUAGACAUUGUGAAGCCACAGAAUAUAGCCCAGCCUUGAGAAGGCCCAAGAAAUGGAGGUGAUGAAGUUGAGUUGGAGGCCAAGCUUCCCUCUGACACUCUGCUCAUCUGCCCUCCUGCCGGAUCCCCAAGUCCUUCUCUAAGCAUAUGCGGACAAGAGAGAUCCCCGUCCGAUGACUCCACGUGUGCCAUGGUGGGGACACUGCCAGAUGAGAGGGUCCAGGCAAGCAGAUCUUCUUGUGGAAAACUUGGUGACAGUACCCUUUCUGAGUCAGUUUCCUUAUCUGUACAGUGUAGACGUGGGCCAGAAGCUGUAGAGAGUCUCCGUGUUCUUCAGGCUUAGGCGGGUCAUUGGGUACAGCCAGGUGUAUUUUGGUACCUGGACUAAGGGGACAAGUGGGAUGACUAAGAGAUCUUCCCAGAUGGAAGGCCUGGCAUGGGUGCAUGUGGAAGUAUUCAUGGAGGAG
rnacentral:lncRNA from 1 species